rnacentral:rRNA from 1 species
UACAGAGGUCUCAAGCGUUGUUCGGAUUCAUUGGGCGUAAAGGGUGCGUAGGCGGCGCGGUAAGUCGGGUGUGAAAUCUUGGAGCUUAACUCCGAAACUGCAUUCGAUACUGCCGUGCUUGAGGACUGGAGAGGAGACUGGAAUUCACGGUGUAGCAGUGAAAUGCGUAGAUAUCGUGAGGAAGACCAGUGGCGAAGGCGGAUCUCUGGACAGCUCCUGACGCUGAGGCGCGAAGGCUAGGGGAGCAAACGGG